AUGAACAGAAAGGCGGUGUGCAUCUCGCUUGUGAUCCUCGCGCUUAUGCUGCUCGCCGGCCCAGGCGCGAAGGCGGCGGCGCUCUCCGGUGACACUGCCAGCGUCGACGCGGUGCGGCAGCUGAUGGCGACGUCGUCGUCGCCGAUGAGGCUGGGGGACGUCGUGGCGCCGGAGCUGGUGGUGGUAUCCACCGUGGUGGACCUCGGGGUGCACCGGCGCGUCCUCGCCGGCAUCGACCCGGGGCCACUGAACGGCAACAAGCAAGCCUGCAGGCCCAAGUGCGCGCAGCCCGGACAGCCCAACACCGGCCGGAACUGCCUCAAAAUUUACCGGUGCCCAGGAGGAAACUAA
rnacentral:rRNA from 1 species